GUGCUGCCUGCCCCACUGUGCCAUGGGCCCCGGGCUCCUCUGCUGAGCACUGCUUUGUCUCCUGGGAGCAGGUCCAGUGGACACUGAAGUCACCCAAAGUCCCACACACCUGAUCAAAACGAGAGGACAGCAGUAAAAUUUAAUUUUGGAUUUUCACCACCAAGAAUAAAUGUACCUGAAAUACGUCUCACGUAAGAAAUAAGACAGAGACCUAGGAAUGGGAGGGAAGGACAUAUGUUCAGUGAAAAAGCAACAGCCUGUCCAACACAGCCCUGAAGUAGACACCCGGAGCUGAUGGUGGAGAGGUUGGUCUAUAUAGACCUAACUGUUUGGAUGAACGGAGGCAAGAUGGCGCACUUCCGGGUUCUUCAUCCCCCAACUUUUCCAGCGUGCGCGAAAAUCCAGCCGGCGACCUGGGAAGGUGCAGACCAACUAGGCAUGCGCCAGGUGAUGUCAAUCUGAAGAGACCAAGAUUUACCUGUUCGCACCUGUGGAACACCCCCUGACAUGCCCGUGCCCUGCCUAUUGCUCUCCCACUCCUAGAAAAGCCGCUCCAGAGGCACGCCACGCACGACCUUCCUCAGUCCUCCACUCCUG